AAGAAAGGCAUGCUGGGCAAUGUAGUUCCCAGCCCGGUAGGUGGCAGGCGUCGGCGAGAAGGCGGGUGCCCGGUUCUCUCAGGCUUUGGCACCGGAAGGGCAUAGCUACGGCUGAGAGGAGAGCCAAAGGUUUCUUGGGUGACAAGGCUGUUCCCUCUGCAGAUCUGUUUAGAUUCAGGUGGGAAGGCUCUCAAAUAGGCUGGACUCGAGUGUUUGCCCUGUCAAGGCUAUGAAGGUGACACCACAGCAAGGGAAGCCACCAGAGGUUUCUGAAGGUAGAGCUCCCAGCUUGUGGCCUGGAAAAGCAGCAGAGGAUGGCC